UACAGAGGCCUCAAGCGUUACCCGGAAUCACUGGGCGUAAAGGAUGUGUAGGCGGCGAUGUUAGUCUUUCGUGAAAGCUUUUGGGCUUAACCCAGAAAACGCGGGAGAAACGGCAUUGCUUAGAGGAUGCGAGAGGUAAAGGGAACUCAUGGUGUAGGGGUGAAAUCCGUUGAUAUCAUGGGGAACACCAAAUGCGAAGGCACUUUACUGGCGCACUCCUGACGCUGAAACAUGAAAGCGUGGGAAUCGAACGGG
rnacentral:rRNA from 1 species